rnacentral:rRNA from 1 species
AUUGAACGCUAGCGGGAUGCCUUACACAUGCAAGUCGAACGGAGUGGCGAACGGGUGAGUGAUGUAUCGGAACGUGCCCCGUAGCGGGGGAUAGGUACACCAAAGGGUACCUGAUCCCCCAUCCUAUUUGAGCGGCCGAUAUCGGAUUCGCUAUUUGGUGGGGUAACGGUUGACCAGGGCGACGAUCCGGAGCUGGGUUGGGUGGACGACCAGCCAAACUGGGAAUGAGACACGGCCCAGACGCCUACGGGAGGCAGCAGGGGGGAAUGUUGGACAAUGGGGGAAACCCUGAGCCAGCCAUCCCGCGUGGGCGAUGAAGGCCUUCGGGUUGUAAAGGACUUUUGGCAGGAAAGCGGUACCUGCAGAAUAAGCACCGGCUAACUACGUGCCAGCAGCCGCGGUAAUAC